GGUGAACGCUGGCGGCGUGCUUAAGACAUGCAAGUCGAACGGGCUCUUCGGAGCCAGUGGCGCACGGGUGAGUAACGCGUAACUGACCUACCCCAAAGUCGCGGAUAACGAUUCGAAAGAAUCGCUAAUACGUGAUGUGCUGUCAGAUCCUGUUCUGCCAGUAAAGAUUUAUUGCUUUGGGAUGGGGUUGCGUUCCAUCAGCUAGUUGGUGGGGUAAAGGCCCACUAAGGCGACGACGGAUCGCCGGCCUGAGAGGGUGGCCGGCCACAGGGGCACUGAGACACGGGUCCCACUCCUACGGGAGGCAGCAGUGAGGAAUCUUCCACAAUGGGCGAAAGCCUGAUGGAGCGACGCCGCGUGAGGGAUGAAGGUCUUCGGAUCGUAAACCUCUGAAUCAGGGACGAAAGACGCGAAAGCGGGAUGACGGUACCUGAGUAAUAGCACCGGCUAACUCCGUG
rnacentral:rRNA from 1 species